rnacentral:rRNA from 1 species
UACGUAGGGGGCAAGCGUUGUCCGGAUUUAUUGGGCGUAAAGCGCACGCAGGCGGUGCAGUAAGUUCAGAGUGACAGGUGGUGGCUUAACUACCACAGGCCUCGGGAAACUGCUGCACUUGAGGGCUUGAGAGGGACGCGGAAUUCCAGGUGGAGCGGUGAAAUGCGUAGAGAUCUGGAAGAACACCAAAGGCGAAGGCAGCGUCCUGGCAAGUCACUGACGCUCAGGUGCGAAAGCUAGGGGAGCGAUCGGG